rnacentral:rRNA from 1 species
UACGAAGGGGGGCUAGCGUUGCUCGGAAUCACUGGGCGUAAAGGGUGCGUAGGCGGGUCUUUAAGUCAGGGGUGAAAUCCUGGAGCUCAACUCCAGAACUGCCUUUGAUACUGGGGAUCUCGAGUCCGGGAGAGGUGAGUGGAACUGCGAGUGUAGAGGUGAAAUUCGUAGAUAUUCGCAAGAACACCAGUGGCGAAGGCG